GGUAAGAUGGCUCAGUGGUUAAGAGCACUGGGUACUCUCCCAGACGUCCUGAGUUCAAAUCCCAGCAACCA
rnacentral:tRNA from 1 species